GAUGAACGCUGACAGAAUGCUUAACACAUGCAAGUCGACUUGAAGCAACUUUCGGUUGUGGAAAGGGCGGACGGGUGAGUAACGCGUAAAGAACUUGCCCUUUCAGUCUGGGACAACCAUUGGAAACGAUGGCUAAUACCGGAUAUUAUGGAACUCUCGCAUGGGAGGAUCAUGAAAGCUAUAUGCGCUGAAGGAGAGCUUUGCGUUCCAUUAGCUAGUUGGUGAGGUAACGGCUCACCAAGGCGACGAUGGAUAGCCGGCCUGAGAGGGUGAUCGGCCACAAGGGGACUGAGACACGGCCCUUACUCCUACGGGAGGCAGCAGUGGGGAAUAUUGGACAAUGGACCAAAAGUCUGAUCCAGCAAUUCUGUGUGCACGAUGAAGGUUUUCGGAUCGUAAAGUGCUUUCAGUUGGGAAGAAGAAAGUGACGGUACCAACAGAAGAAGCGACGGCUAAAUACGUGCCAGCAGCCGCGGUAAUACGUAUGUCGCAAGCGUUAUCCGGAUUUAUUGGGCGUAAAGCGCGUCUAGGCGGGUUCAUAAGUCUGAUGUUAAAAUGCGGGGCUCAACUCCGUAUUGCGUUGGAAACUGUGAACCUAGAGUAUCAGAGAGGUGGGCGGAACUACAAGUGUAGAGGUGAAAUUCGUAGAUAUUUGUAGGAAUGCCGAUGGAGAAGUCAGCUCACUGGAUGAUACUGACGCUAAAGCGCGAAAGCGUGGGUAGCAAACAGG
rnacentral:rRNA from 1 species